GACAGAGGUCCCGAGCGUUAGGCGGAAUCACUGGGCUUAAAGCGUGUGUAGGCGGAUGCCUAAGUACCUUGUGAAAUCCCACGGCUCACCCGUGGAACUGCUCGGUAUACUGGAUGUCUUGAGCCACUUAGGGGCUACCGGAACAAAUGGUGGAGCGGUGAAAUGCGUAGAUAUCAUUUGGAACGCCAAUGGUGAAAACAGGUAGCUGGGAGUGUGCUGACGCUGAGACACGAAAGCCAGGGGAGCAAACGGG
rnacentral:rRNA from 1 species